UACGAAGGGUGCAAGCGUUACUCGGAAUUACUGGGCGUAAAGCGUGCGUAGGUGGUUCGUUAAGUCUGAUGUGAAAGCCCUGGGCUCAACCUGGGAAUGGCAUUGGAAACUGGCAACCUAGAGUGCGGUAGAGGGUAGUGGAAUUCCCGGUGUAGCAGUGAAAUGCGUAGAGAUCGGGAGGAACAUCUGUGGCGAAGGCGACUGCCUGGACCAGCACUGACACUGAGGCACGAAAGCGUGGGGAGCAAACAGG
rnacentral:rRNA from 1 species